GACGGAGGGUGCUAGCGUUGUUCGGAAUUACUGGGCGUAAAGGGCGCGUAGGCGGCUAGGCACGUCGGAUGUGAAAGCCCGGGGCUCAACUCCGGAAUUGCCUUUAAAACUGCAUCGCUAGAAUUGUGGAGAGGUAAGUGGAAUUCCGAGUGUAGAGGUGAAAUUCGUAGAUAUUCGGAAGAACACCAGUGGCGAAGGCGACUUACUGGACACAUAUUGACGCUGAGGUGCGAAAGCGUGGGGAGCAAACAGG
rnacentral:rRNA from 1 species